rnacentral:rRNA from 1 species
UACAGAGGGUGCAAGCGUUAAUCGGAUUUACUGGGCGUAAAGCGUGCGUAGGCGGUUCAUUAAGUCGGUUGUGAAAUCCCUGGGCUUAACCUGGGAACUGCAGUCGAUACUGGUGGACUAGAAUGCGGUAGAGGGUGGCGGAACUCCGGGUGUAGCGGUGAAAUGCGUAGAUAUCCGGAGGAAUACCGGUGGCGAAGGCGGCAUCCUGGACCGGCAUUGACGCUGAGGAGCGAAAGCCAGGGGAGCAAACGGG